ACGCUCGACACCUACGGAGGCAGCAGUGGGGAAUAUUGCACAAUGGGGGAAACCCUGAUGCAGCGACGCCGCGUGAGUGAAGAAGUAUUUCGGUAUGUAAAGCUCUAUCAGCAGGGAANAGAAUGACGGUACCUGACUAAGAAGCCCCGGCUAACUACGUGCCAGCAGCCGCGGUAAUCUGAGCGGGCUGGCAAGGC
rnacentral:rRNA from 1 species